UACGGGGGGGGCAAGCGUUGUUCGGAAUUACUGGGCGUAAAGGGCUCGUAGGCGGCCAACUAAGUCAGACGUGAAAUCCCUCGGCUUAACCGGGGAACUGCGUCUGAUACUGGAUGGCUCGAGUUUGGGAGAGGGAUGCGGAAUUCCAGGUGUAGCGGUGAAAUGCGUAGAUAUCAGGAGGAACACCAAUAGCGAAGGCAGCUCGCUGGGACGUUACUGACACUGAGGCGCGAAAGCGUGGGGGAGCGAACAGG
rnacentral:rRNA from 1 species